GGCAUCUGAAACCCGUCCAAAUGAUGCAGAAACUUUUGCGUGCCUGGCUCCUUUCUUUAAGGCCAGGCACCGAUUUUUUUCCGCUGUGUAAUCUCUUUUGUCAGAAGGGUGGGAGCUGGAAAGGGCGGCAGGGGGUGGGGGUGGGAGUGGGGGGUGGAGAGCAGCUGUUGUAUUUCCACACAGCGAGUAUUAGGAGUAUCCCUAGAGAAAUAUAUAUGUGUGCACAUACGUGCCUAUAUAAUUCUAUGUAUGUAGAUAAGAAUGUCAAAAUGCACAGCUGUCAGUAUCAGUCUUCUCCCCUCCUUAAGGGAGACACUGUACUCUGUAGGUACCGUGAAUUGUUAACAGUGCAGUAAUCCCCUCCUCCCUCUCCCCUUUCUUCUCCGUGAUCAUCUAAAUUAUAAAUAUAUAUAUAUAUAUAUAUAUAAUGCAAUAAUCUACGGUUCUACAUUGUAUAGAGAACACCAGAAAGCAUGAAACGCUAUAGACUGCAGAGGAGGAAGAAAUGCAUUUAAAGCAACGAUAAAAAUGGCGUGCAGGAUAAUUACCUCAAAUUGCUAUUCGCUUGACACCCUGACACUAAUUCUGUUCAAGCCAUUGGGACAUACAAUAAGGCAAAUACACCUUCCUCGCCUGCUUGUGCAGGUAUGAGUGUGUGUGAAGAGGGGCAAUAGGGAUCAGGUCGGGAGGAGGGGAACACUAAACUUUCCAUCUUAAAAAAAAAAAAAAAAAAAAAAGAAUAAAUUAAUUAAUCUAUUUAAGAGAAAGCAUCUAAAUAGAUCGACAGCUUAUAAUGCUAGCGUUUUUAACGCUUGCUCUGUAUGUGAAUUGAUUUUUUUUUUCUCCAGCAUUCCCUCAGCAGUCGGAUUUUUGCCACUGCAGCUCAGCAGAGGGUGUCAGAUCUUUCAGAGUGCACCAGGUUGAAACGAGCAGAGCCUCUUAGCAACUCUCCCCCUGCGUGCCUGUGAGUGUGUGCGAGCUUAGCGUGCGGCUCGGCAGCAGCGGAAGAAAACGGAAAGAAGAGCGAGCGAGGGCGCGGGCGACGAGGGGAGGCAGCGCGGCCGGCAGGGCGAGGCGAGGCGCGGCGCGGUCGCUCGAUCGGUCUGUCAGUCCGUCGUUCUGUCGGGGAGCGCCGACCCCUCCGCAGGCUCCCGCCGCAGGCAGCAUGGGCAGCGGCGCAGCGCAGCGGGGGCAAGGGGCGCCGCGCAGCGCCGGGGGCUCGGCGGCCAUCGCCUAGGCAGCGCCUUCAGCACCGGCAGCCCGGACAGCUCCCGGCGGGCGGCCCCGCGGCCCCGCGCCACAAGGUCAGCCCGGCGCCGAGCCCGAGCCGGAGCGGGAACCGCGCACACGCGCAGCCUCCGCGCAAACCGCGGCGCGCUCCACCCGCUCCUCUCCGGCAUGCGGCGGCUGCCGGCGGCCGGCACCGUUUCCCUGACGGCUACAGGUCCAGCACAGACUCUGCUCUGGUGGGGAUUCUCCACAGGCUGCAACCUCCUUCAGGCCACAUCCACCUGCUCCGCAGUGGUCUCCACAGGCUGCAGUGUGGAGAUCUGCUUCACCAUGGUACACUACAGUCUGCAAAGGGAUAACCUGCUUCAUCAUGGGCCUCUCCAAAGGUUGCAGGGGAACUUCAGCUCCAGCAUCAGUCUUGUUCAAUUUAUUCAUCAAUGAUCUGGAUGAUGGAAUGCAGUGCACCCUCCCUAAGUUUGCUGAUGACACAAAACUCAGAGGAAUAGCUGAUAACCGCAGAGAGCUGUGCUUCCAUUCAGAGGGACCUUGACAGGAUGGAGGGAUGGGCUGAGAGAAAUGUCAUGAAAUUCAACAAGGGUAAGUGCAGGGUCCUACACCUAGGGAGGAAUAACCCCUAGCACCAGUGGAGACUGCGGAAUUACCUGCUAGAGAGCAGCCCUGCAGAGAAGAACCAGGUAGUGUUGGUGUUCCUGUGGAUUCUCCUUCUCUGUAGAUAUUCAAAACACACCUGGAUGUGGUCCUGUGCAGCAUGUUCUAUGUGACCCUGCUUGAGCAGGAGGUUGGAGUAGAUGGUCUCCAAAGGUCCCUUCCAACCUCAACCAUUUUGUAAUUCUUUAAAGUACCUUAAUCCAUUACUUUUCCUUCCUUUGGUUCCUCCCCUACACAUACCAUAAAUUUUCUGCAGUCCAAAGAUGAUCUUUCCCUACAUUCCAUAAUGUGUUCCAUACCCCUCUGGGUAAUAGCCCCCCUGAAUUUGAAAGGAGAGUAGUUUAUUAGAUUAGAUUAGAUUAGAUUAGAUUAGAUUAGAUUAGAUUAGAUCAUUCAGAUUAUUCUCGUUAAUGUUAUUAGAUUACUCUGAUUCCUCUGCCUGUCACUUUUAUUUUAUCCUUUCUUGUGUGUGCAGAAGCAAGCCCUUUAUCAGAUAGUCCAACUGUCUCCAGCAUUUAUAUAGAGAGGUCUAUGUGAAUAAAUUAAAGGUAGAUGCCCGGAUUGUUUACAUGGUAGACAUCUACUUUUGUUAAGGUGACAACUGUCCUUAGCAUGGGAAAUUUGUCAAAGUUUUCUUGCAAUUUGUUUCUGAAACUUCAUCUUGUAAAACUCUUCUGAUUGGACUACAGUGUUCUGGUUAAUACUGCUGAUACAAUUCCUGUCAGUGCAAGCUUAUUUUGAAAUAAUUGAAAGAAUAUGUUCUAAUAUUAUCAUCUACAACAUGUACAAAUGCAUACAGCACUGUAUGAGCAAUGAAAACUGUUAUUGAAUAAUUCAAUAAAUUU
rnacentral:lncRNA from 1 species